GAUGAACGCUAGCGGCAGGCCUAACACAUGCAAGUCGAACGGUAACAGGAAGUAGCUUGCUACUUUGCUGACGAGUGGCGCACGGGUGCGUAACGCGUAUACAAUCUACCUUUUACUGGGAGAUAGCCUUUAGAAAUGAAGAUUAAUACCCCAUGGUAUUAAGAGUAUGCAUAUACUUUUAAUUAAAGUUUCGGCGGUAAAAGAUGAGUAUGCGUUCUAUUAGCUAGAUGGUGUGGUAACGGCACACCAUGGCAACGAUAGAUAGGGGCCCUGAGAGGGGGAUCCCCCACACUGGUACUGAGACACGGACCAGACUCCUNACGGGAGGCAGCAGUGAGGAAUAUUGGACAAUGGAGGCAACUCUGAUCCAGCCAUGCCGCGUGCAGGAAGACGUGCCCUAGUGGGUUGUAAACUGCUUUUAUACAGGAAGAAACAGCUCUACGCGUAGAGCUUUGACGGUACUGUAAGAAUAAGGAUCGGCUAACU
rnacentral:rRNA from 1 species